rnacentral:rRNA from 1 species
AUUGAACGCUGGCGGAAUGCUUUACACAUGCAAGUCGAACGGCAGCACGGACUUCGGUCUGGUGGCGAGUGGCGAACGGGUGAGUAAUGUAUCGGAACGUGCCCAGUCGUGGGGGAUAACGUAGUGAAAAUUACGCUAAUACCGCAUACGAUCGAUGGACGAAAGCGGGGGACCGCAAGACCGCGCGCGCUUGGAGCGGCCGAUAUCAGAUUAGGUAGUUGGUGGGGUAAAGGCCCACCAAGCCAACGAUCUGUAGCUGGUCUGAGAGGACGACCAGCCACACUGGAACUGAGACACGGUCCAGACUCCUACGGGAGGCAGCAGUGGGGAAUUUUGGACAAUGGGCGAAAGCCUGAUCCAGCCAUUCCGCGUGCAGGAUGAAGGCCCUCGGGUUGUAAACUGCUUUUGUACAGAACGAAAAGGUUUCUACUAAUACUAGGAGCUCAUGACGGUACUGUAAGAAUAAGCACCGGCUAACUACGUGCCAGCCGCCGCCGUAA